rnacentral:rRNA from 1 species
GACGUACCACCCAAACGUUAUUCGGAUUCACUGGGCUUACAGAGUCCGUAGGCGGUCCAGAAAGUUAGGCGUGAAAUCCCUCAGCUCAACUGAGGAAUAGCGCUUAAAACUACUGGGCUAGAGAGAGUCAGAGGUGAGCGGAACUGAUGGUGGAGCGGUGAAAUGCGUUGAUAUCAUCAGGAACACCGGUGGCGAAAGCGGCUCACUGGGGCUUUUCUGACGCUGAGGGACGAAAGCUAGGGGAGCGAACGGG